rnacentral:tRNA from 1 species
GCGGCUAUGUUGGAAUUGGUAGACAAGCUUGGUUGAGGGCCAAGUGGGAUAUCCCGGUGACAGUUCGAGUCUGUCUAGCCGCACCA